rnacentral:rRNA from 1 species
CCUACGUGUGGCAGCAGUGGGGGAUAUUGCACAAUGGGGGGAACCCUGAUGCAGCGACGCCGCGUGGGUGACGAAGCGCCUCGGCGCGUAAAGCCCUGUCAGCAGGGAAGAAAAUGACGGUACCUGAAGAAGAAGCCCCGGCUAACUACGUGCCAGCAGCCGCGGUAAUACGUAGGGGGCAAGCGGUAUCCGGAUUUACUGGGUAGAAAGGGGGCGCAGACGGCGAUGCAAGCCAGGAGUGAAAGCCCGGGGCCCAACCCCGGGACUGCUCUUGGAACUGCGUGGCUGGAGUGGAGGAGGGGCAGGCGGAAUGCCUGGUGUAGCGGUGAAAUGCGUAGAGAUCAGGAGGAACACCGGUGGCGAAGGCGGCCUGCUGGACUGCAACUGACGUUGAGGCCCGAAAGCGUGGGGAGCAAACAGGAUUAGAUACCCGAGUAGUC